rnacentral:rRNA from 1 species
CCUACGGGAGGCAGCAGUGAGGAAUAUUGGUCAAUGGACGAGAGUCUGAACCAGCCAAGUAGCGUGAAGGAUGACUGCCCUAUGGGUUGUAAACUUCUUUUAUAAAGGAAUAAAACGAGGCACGUGUGCCUUUUUGCAUGUACUUUAUGAAUAAGGAUCGGCUAACUCCGUGCCAGCAGCCGCGGUAAUACGGAGGAUCCGAGCGUUAUCCGGAUUUAUUGGGUUUAAAGGGAGCGUAGAUGGGUUGUUAAGUCAGUUGUGAAAGUUUUCGGCUCAACCGUAAAAUUGCAAUUGAUACUGGCAGUCGUGAGUACAGUUGAGGUAGGCGGAAUUCGUGGUGUAGCGGUGAAAUGCUUAGAUAUCACGAAGAACCCCGAUUGCGAAGGCAGCUUACUAAACUGUGACUGACAUUGAUGCUCGAAAGUGUGGGUAUCAAACAGGAUUAGAUACCCCAGUAGUC